CCACCUAAUUUUCCUUCAAUCCUACUGUUACUCAAAAACAAAAAAUGGCUAUAGAAAGGCCAAAGUUACAAGAUGAUCAAAGAAACAAAGUUGCCCAGUGGCUGUUAGAGCAUAGCAGUGAAGGCAACCUUCGCCAUGGAGCAAAAAAAGAGGCGGCACUUCACUUCAAAGUAAACUUGAAGACCAUUUGGAGGAUUUGGAGCCAAGUCUCCAAUCAAAGAGCAUCCGGUGUACCUGUCCAGGUUAAAUCAAUUAGAAAAGGAUGUAUACACAAGGAUAAGAUGCUCAUUGAUGGUGAAAAAGUCAAAAAACUUUCAGUUUUAGAAAGAAGUACACUGAGAUGCAUGUCGACUCACCUAGGAGUGUCUAAAUCUUUGCUUCAUCAAUGGGUGAAGGAGAAAAAACUGAAACCACAUACAAAUGCCAUAAAACCCUUCCUUACCACACAAAACAAGCUAUGUAGGCUGAGGUGGAGCCUUAAACAGCUCAGUGGGGUAAGUGAGGAUGGUUUUAUACCAUUCCAAAGUAUGUACAACACCAUCCACAUCGAUGAAAAAUGGUUCUAUCUUACCAAAACCAAUGAUAGAUACUACCUCCUGCCCGAUGAGGAAGAACCACAUAGGACAUGCAAAUCAAAAAGGCAUAUUGAAAAAAUCAUGUUUAUGUGUGCUGCUGCGAGGCCUAUCAUUGAUGAAGAUGGCACAGUCAUAUUCGAUGGAAAGUUAGGCAUUUAUCCUUUCA
rnacentral:lncRNA from 1 species